rnacentral:rRNA from 1 species
CCUACGGGAGGCUGCAGUGGGGAAUAUUGCGCAAUGGGCGAAAGCCUGACGCAGCGACGCCGCGUGAGGGAUGAAGGUCUUCGGAUCGUAAACCUCUGUCAGCAGGGAAGAACGGGCACGGUGCUAAUCAGCAGGGAAUUGACGGUACCGGCAAAGGAAGCACCGGCAAACUCCGGGCCAGAAGCCGCGGUAAUACGGAGGGGGCGAGCGGUAAUCGGAAUUACUGGGCGUAAAGCGCUCGUAGGCGGUAUGUCAAGUCAAGGGUGAAAUCCCCUCGCUCAACGUGGGAACUGCCUUUGAAACUGGCAACCUGGAGUGUGUGAGAGGUUAGUGGAAUUCCUGGUGUAGGAGUGAAAUCCGUAGAUAUCUGGAGGAACAUCAGUGGCGAAGGCGACUUUCUGGCCCAUACCUGACGCUGAGGCUCGAAAGCGUGGGUAGCAAACAGGAUUAGAUACCCUAGUAGUC